AACCCUGUCCUUAGUUACCAGCACGUUAUGGUGGGCACUCUAAGGAGACUGCCGGUGACAAACCGGAGGAAGGUGGGGAUGACGUCAAGUCAUCAUGGCCCUUACGGCCUGGGAUACACACGUGCUACAAUGGUCGGUACAAAGGGUUGCCAAGCCGCGAGGUGGAGCUAAUCCCAUAAAACCGAUCGUAGUCCGGAUCGCAGUCUGCAACUCGACUGCGUGAAGUCGGAAUCGCUAGUAAUCGUGAAUCAGAAUGUCACGGUGAAUACGUUCCCGGGCCUU
rnacentral:rRNA from 1 species